CCUACGGGUGGCAGCAGUGAGGAAUAUUGGUCAAUGGCCGGAAGGCUGAACCAGCCAAGCCGCGUGAAGGACGAAGGUGCCAAGCAUUGUAAACUUCUUUUGUCAAGGGACAAAAUGAGGCUCGAGAGCCUGACCGAGGGUACUUGAAGAACAAGCAUCGGCUAACUCCGUGCCAGCAGCCGCGGUAAGACAGAGGAUGCGAGCGUUAUCCGGAUUUAUUGGGUUUAAAGGGAGCGUAGAUGGGUCGGUACGUCAGUUGUGAACGUUUGCGGCGCAACCGUAAAAUUGCAAUUGAUACUGGCAGUCUUGAGUACAGUUGAGGUAGGCGGAAUUCGUGGUGUAGCGGUGAAAUGCUUAGAUAUCACGAAGAACCCCGAUUGCGAAGGCAGCUUACUAAACUGUGACUGACAUGGAUGCUCGAAAGUGUGGGUAUCAAACAGGAUUAGAUACCCGGGUAGUG
rnacentral:rRNA from 1 species